AGAGGCUGUGCAGUCUCCUCCCUGGGGAUAUUGCAGAGCCACAGGGACACUCUGCUGUACCCUGUGCUCUGGGAUGGCCCUGCUGGAGCAGGGAGGUGGCACCAGAGCAGCCCCUGUGGGCCCCUCCAGCCUCACCCAGCCUGGGUCUCUGUGAGUUCCCAUGGGGUGGUUUAGACUCCCCAUGUGGAGAGAGACCAGGCAGGAUUAAGUUAUUUCUGAUUAAGCUGAUUUAGCCCAGGGUGUCCUGUCUAAAAGCAUGGCCUGCUCUAGGUGAAGACAUGCAAAAGCACAAAUCCCAUUGUGUACAAUAUUCCUUACACAGAGGUGUGAAAAGGCAGCAAACAUCUCUCCACAUGGUGGACAAAGUGGAUUUAUUACCUAUAUAUCCUGACUGUUCAGCCUUUCCUUGGUGAAGGGUCUGUGCUGGAAAUGGGCUCCAUGCUGUGGAAGAUCCUGCUCUGGGCACUGAUCACUGAAGGCACUGAGGGAAAAAAAUAACAUUUGGCACACAAAGGCUAAAAUUUUCAUCCUUGAUCAUGACAUUUGAAAUGAGGACCUGCCUGCAGCUGUGGUGUGCUUCCAGCUUCCCAGUAACUCACCACUGUCCCUGCCCACCAGCAGGGACAUUGAAGAGUAAUUAGGAAGAAGAGAAAUGUGUCAUUCAUUUUCUAUCAAGGGGAGAAAAAGCCAUUUUCCAACAAAUUCCAAACAAUUCUAGAUCUGAGAAAAAGAAGAUACCUUUUGAUUCUUGGAAUCAAAGAGAGACAUCUCAGCAAAGCAGCAGGAAGAGAGGAAGAUCUGAAUCCUGGUUUAUGAACUUUUCCACCUAGAUCUCAAGAAUCACUGGGAUCUGCUCUUUGAACUGGGUUCUGCAGAAAGAAAGCUGCAGAUAUUGGACUUCAAAGCAAGAGAUAACGGAGAGAAAUAAAUGUUCCAAAUGGUGGAGUGUAUUCUGGCACUCAGACGUCACCAGAGUUCUCUGGAAAUGGUUUGAAUUGCUUGUCUUCCAGACAUUUGGCAGAAAUCACCAGGGGAUGUGGGGGUGUUACAUCUGUUCAUGGCUAAGGAUGGCCUUCAGAAGAUUUUUACUUGCCUUCUCAAAAUCAUUUGGAGUUACAUCUGCUUCUUUGCAAGGAUGUUCCUCAUCUGGUGGAAGAAUUCAUGCUGAAGCAAGAGACAGAAGCCUGGAGUAUUUAUUUAAUAUCAACAAGUAAUGCUGGAAAAACUGGACUGAGGAAAGAGUCUUCAGGGACAUUUGGAACACUGUGUGUACUUCAUACUUAAUUAUAUUCAACUGAAACACUUUGCAGUUGGUGUCUGUGAUAAAGCAAGUCCUUAAAGCUCUAAAUGUGGUGUAGAAACAAGGUAGGAAAACCAACCAGAAACUCACUGUAUCUAAGUGAUUGCAUAAUAAAUGUCUUGCUUUGAAAAAUUACAUAAAACCUCCAAUAUUUAUAUAUUUUAGAAGGGCUGAGCUAAAAGUUAAAAUUAUAUUAGAAGACACAUUUUUGGUUAAAACAUAUUAUUUGGACUAAUUUAAACUAGUUUUGUUUGAAGGUUGACUGCAACCUUAGGUAUAAUUAACCUCUUGGUCUCUGUAUUUGCAUCCCUGAGUUUCAAGAACUUGUGAAUGAGUUUCAUUUUCACUUUGAAGGAAGUUGUUCUAGAGGAGGCUCAUUGUAACUGGCACAUUGCUGCUGCCCACAUUUCUCUGAUAUUUCCUCAAAACAUGACUCACACAUAAUCAGAAUAGGCAGGGUGUCUUUAUUACUUUGGAUUGUUUUAGGGAAAGCAACAGAUGGUGGUAUUUGAGCUGUCCAGAUAUAGAAAACAUGCCCUUGUACCAUCAGGCUGUCUUCACAUCUUGUUUGCCUUUUUACAGACAUAAUUCAAAGUAAUUAGGCAAGUAUUUAAGGUCCUGCCUAAGAAGCAAAGUGGAUCAAUAAUGUGUGCCUGAAGUUAUCCAUCUGGUUGGAAGCUUCCUGAAGUCAAUAAUUAUAUGGAUAAACCCUUCCACUUUUGACAGAAGAUGAGUCUUUAUCUUCUGCAUCUGUUUUAAUCUCUCUGGAUUUAGCACCAGGCAGGACUAACACUACUUAUUUAGGGAAGGAAAUUUAAGCUUUAGAAAGUUCUGCUCUGAGGAAAUGAAAGCUGUCUCAUUCUCAUUAAUACACAUUCCAUUUCCUUUUUCUCUGCUAUUGCUCUUAUUUCUCCUUAAAAUUUCUCUGAAUAAAAGAAAAUUUAAAAAGCAUAUAUUCUUGCUUAUGACAAUAGGAAAAACUGUGUUGAAUCAAAUAUUCUUGGGUUUGGGAAGUUUCUUGGCUGAUAAAAGGUGCUCACAUUAAUCACAUCUGUUAUACAGUGUGAGGGCAUAGAGGCAUGUAGGAAGUAGAUCUUAAUUCUACUUUAUGUUUAUGCAGAUGAAUUGUACCAAAGCAGAAAUUGUAGAGGAACACAAAUUAAUUCUUCAUUUGUUAUUGUAUCACUCUUGUAACAAGCUGAGGUGAGAGAUCAGAGUAGCACAAUUCAGAUUUAUUUACAGUCUCCUCACUUUAUCACUUAGGAAUACAAUAAAUAGAAUUGGGGGUGGGGGGCAUUGUAUAAACCACAGUUUGAAACACUUGUAAUAAAGUUCCUUUUUUCUUAUGUCAUGCUGUGAAUGAAAGUCUGCCAAGAGUGGUAAGAAAGUUCUGUUCAUCAGAAUCUGUUGACACAGUAUUUUAUAAAAAGUGUAGUCAUGGAUAAGAGUCAUGGGAGUUUUGGGUUGUUGUCGAUUAUAUGUCAUACAAAUAAAUAAUCUGUGGUGGUA